rnacentral:rRNA from 1 species
AGGUCCCAAAGUUGUGGUUAAGUGGUAAACGAUGUGGGAAGGCUUAGACAGCUAGGAGGUUGGCUUAGAAGCAGCCACCCUUUAAAGAAAGCGUAAUAGCUCACUAGUCGAGUCGGCCUGCGCGGAAGAUGUAACGGGGCUCAAACCACACACCGAAGCUGCGGGUGUCACGCAAGUGACGCGGUAGAGGAGCGUUCUGUAAGCCUGUGAAGGUGAGUUGAGAAGCUUGCUGGAGGUAUCAGAAGUGCGA